rnacentral:rRNA from 1 species
AUGGCUGUCGUCAGCUCGUGUCGUGAGAUGUUGGGUUAAGUCCCGCAACGAGCGCAACCCACGUCUUUAGUUGCCAGCAUUCAGUUGGGCACUCUAGAGAGACCGCCGGUGAUAAACCGGAGGAAGGUGUGGAUGACGUCAAGUCAUCAUGCCCCUUACAUCCUGGGCUACACACGUACUACAAUGCUACGGACAAAGGGCAGCAAGCUCGCGAGAGCUAGCAAAUCCCAUAAACCGUGGCUCAGUUCAGAUCGUAGGCUGCAACUCGCCUACGUGAAGGAGGAAUCGCUAGUAAUCGCAGGUCAGCAUACUGCGGUGAAUACGUUCCCGGGCCUUGUACACACCGCCCGUCACACCAUGGAAGUUGGCCAUGCCCGAAGUCGUUACUCCAACCCGCAAGGGAGGAGGACGCCGAAGGUGGGGCUGAUGACUGGGGUGAAGUCGUAACAAGGUAGCCGUACCGGAAGGUGCGGCUGGAUCACCUCCUAAC